rnacentral:rRNA from 1 species
CAGUCGCCGCGGUAAUACGUAGGGUGCAAGCGUUAAUCGGAAUUACUGGGCGUAAAGCGUGCGCAGGCGGUUAUAUAAGACAGAUGUGAAAUCCCCGGGCUCAACCUGGGAACUGCAUUUGUGACUGUAUAGCUAGAGUACGGCAGAGGGGGAUGGAAUUCCGCGUGUAGCAGUGAAAUGCGUAGAUAUGCGGAGGAACACCGAUGGCGAAGGCAAUCCCCUGGGCCUGUACUGACGCUCAUGCACGAAAGCGUGGGGAGCAAACAGGAUUAGAUACCCGGGUAGUCCCUGUCUCUUAUAC